UACGUAGGAGGCAAGCGUUGUCCGGAAUUAUUGGGCGUAAAGCGCGCGCAGGCGGCCUUUUAAGUCUGAUGUGAAAGCCCACGGCUCAACCGUGGAAGGUCAUUGGAAACUGAAGGGCUUGAGUACAGAAGAGGAAAGCGGAAUUCCACGUGUAGCGGUGAAAUGCGUAGAGAUGUGGAGGAACACCAGUGGCGAAGGCGGCUUUCUGGUCUGUAACUGACGCUGAGGCGCGAAAGCGUGGGGAGCAAACAGG
rnacentral:rRNA from 1 species